rnacentral:rRNA from 1 species
GCCCUUAUGGGUAGGGCUUCACACGUCAUACAAUGGUCGGAACAGAGGGUCGCCAACCCGCGAGGGGGAGCCAAUCCCAGAAAACCGAUCGUAGUCCGGAUCGCAGUCUGCAACUCGACUGCGUGAAGUCGGAAUCGCUAGUAAUCGUGGAUCAGCAUGCCACGGUGAAUACGUUCCCGGGCCUUGUACACACCGCCCGUC